rnacentral:rRNA from 1 species
GAGUAUGGAGAGGCUGGUAGAAUUCCAGGUGUAGCGGUGAAAUGCGUAGAGAUCUGGAGGAAUACCGAUGGCGAAGGCAGCCAUCUGGCCUAAUACUGACGCUGAGGUACGAAAGGCAUGGGGAGCAAACAGGAUUAUAUACCCUGGUAGUCCAUGCCGUAAACGAUGUCUACUAGCCCUUGGGGCCUUUGAGGCUUUAGUGGCG